rnacentral:rRNA from 1 species
CGGAUUGUAGGCUGCAACUCGCCUACAUGAAGUCGGAAUUGCUAGUAAUCGCGGAUCAGCAUGCCGCGGUGAAUACGUUCCCGGGCCUUGUACACACCGCCCGUCACACCAUGGGAGUCGGUAACACCCGAAGCCUGUAGUCUAACCGCAAGGAGGACGCAGUCGAAGGUGGGAUUGAUGACUGGGGUGAAGUCGUAACAAGGUACC